CAAAAGAAAAACCACCAAACCAAACCCAUCCAUCGUGUAUUUAGAGUGUGGCAUACUUGCAUGAUAAGGUUCGAAGCAAUGUCAGAUCGGGGAAAGCAAGGUGCAUCAAUAGGAUACACAAACCUCCUUGAAGGGUCAUAUUGUAUUUAGCUUAAUGACUAUAAUGAAAAUAAUGGGAAUUUGGCUAUUACUUGUUAUAAGCAAACAAGUCGACUUCCCUCAAAAUGAGCUCGUAGAUAUUAAGGACGUUGUGAUAUUUUAGCAAUUUAGUGGUUCAAAACAAAGGUUGAAUGGAUUUUGAAGCUAGUGCGACUUGGAAUUUUGAGGAAGAUGUUGGAAGGCCUAUUAUGGCCAUGAUAUAUGGUCAUUAUGGGUAAUUUAUAUAUUACGAGUAUAGUUUAUUCUUAUAGGA